rfam:Haliaeetus albicilla contig108076, whole genome shotgun sequence.
AGUUUCCCUCAGGAUAGCUGGCACUCGGCAAUGGGCAGUUUUACCCGGUAAAGCGAAUGAUUAGAGGUCUUGGGGCCGAAACGAUCUCAACCUAUUCUCAAACUUUCAAUGGGUAAGGGGGCCGGCUCGCUGGCGUGGAGCCGUGCCGUGGAAUGCGAGUGCUCAGUGGGCCACUUUUGGUAAGCAGAACUGGCGCUGCGGGAUGAACCGAACGCCGGGUUAAGGCGCCCGAUGCCGACGCUCAUCAGAGCCCAGAAAAG